UCAGUCGACAAGGUAAACUAAGGCAAGAAGUAGGCCACGGACACACUCUCAAAAUGGGAGGCUCCGACAGCAAGUUCGAUGAACAAGAACUUGAAGACUAUCAGGAGCUGACAUACUUCACAAAAAAGGAAAUUUUACAUGUACACAAGAGGUUCACACAGCUGGCCCCAGACUUGGUUGAAGUGGACAAAAAUGCCACGCUACCACAAGAUAAAAUCAUGAUGUUACCAGAACUAAGGGUAAAUCCUUUCAAAGAUCGGAUAUGUAAGGUAUUUUCCUCGAGUGGUGAUGGCAGCAUGUCGUUUGAAGACUUCUUAGAUAUGAUGUCAGUGUUCAGUGAUAAUGCACCAAAGAAUGUCAAAGUGGAGUAUGCUUUCAGGAUAUAUGAUUUUGAUGAAGAUGACAUGAUCAGUAGCAAUGACCUAAAAGAGGUGAUAGACAGACUGACAGGAGAACAGAGGCUUGGUGAAGAGGACAUGCAGCAGCUCAUUGAUAAUAUCUUUGAAGAAGCAGAUUUGGACGAUGAUGACAGUUUGUCUUUUGCUGAGUUUGAGCAUGUGAUAUCUAAAGCACCUGAUUUCGUCAAAUAUUCAGUGAGGUAGAUCUAGAUGGAGACGAAAACUUGUCAUAUGCUGAAUUUGAACAUGUCAUGUCUAAAGCUCCCGACUUCACAAAUUCUUUCAGGAUUCGGCUGUAGAUUUACAUGGACUACUUCUGUUGCCCACUGGAAUCAGUUAACAGCAAAGAGAAUUUGUUAACACAAUUGCUUAUUCAAGACUGCAUUUUCUGAAGGAAUAGAAAUAAGAUCACCGAAAGAGUUGUAAGAGUUUUUCUCUGUUUUGAAUUCAAGUGGAUUUAUCUUUUGCAGUUGUGUGUCAGUAUUAUCCAAGGUACAUUACUAAUACUAGUUGUAAAUCUAAUUUUCCACUGAUAUAUAAUGAUACAAAAUGGAAAUUGGACUAGUUAGUAAAUAUUCAAAGCCAAUAAUGGUUUUCAUUUAACAUUGUGAGGUAAUUUUAAUUAAAUACAUUUGAACAAGUUUGUAGACUGCAGUGCAUAUGUUGUAUCUUACAUAAAAGCCGUACAGCUAAAAAUGGAUAUGUUUAAUGAACUCAUUGAAGGUUUCAAGACAAAUUGUAAUUAUAUUAUGAAAUCUCUAUUUUCAUUUUGUGCUAGAAUUUAUUCAUACUUUAUUCUAUGUCAUACAGAUACAUAAUUAAAUCUGUUCAUUUGCUUUUUUUACUGAAUCAUUAUUGUUAAUCGGCAAUUUAUUUAUCUUUAUGCAUUUUAAUUAAAUGUAAUGCAUUAAAAUGUAAUGCAUUCAGGUGAUAAGGAUUUUAUGAUUUUCAUGAACUCUUUUCGUUUUGUCUUCCAUGUAACUGUUUAUAUGACUAUUUUACCAAAAAUUUCAUAUAAAUCACAAAAUGUUAAAACCACAUCUUUGUGGAAUAGUGAAUGGUUCCAUUUGAGAAAGUAUAUCAUGUUUGGUAUCAUCAUUCUGUUUAUCUCGUCAUAUUUUAACACAUUAAAAUACGUAAAUAAAAUAACUUAUUACAACACAA